UGGUGGAGUGAUUUGUCUGGUUAAUUCCGUUAACGAACGAGACCUUAACCUGCUAAAUAGUACGUUGAUGCACAAUUGGCGUUACUUCUUAGAGGGACUAUGUGUAUUGAAGCGCAUGGAAGUUUGAGGCAAUAACA
rnacentral:rRNA from 1 species